GCCCGUUUGGCUCAGUGGUUGGAGCAUUGGCCCAUGGACCAAAGGGUCGUGGGGUCGAUUCCCAGUCAAGGGCA
rnacentral:tRNA from 1 species